rnacentral:rRNA from 1 species
UACAGAGGUCUCAAGCGUUGUUCGGAUUCAUUGGGCGUAAAGGGUGCGUAGGUGGCGCGCUAAGUCAGGUGUGAAAUUUCGGAGCUUAACUCCGAAACUGCAUUUGAUACUGGCGUGCUUGAGGACUGGAGAGGAGACUGGAAUUCACGGUGUAGAGGUGAAAUUCGUAGAUAUUGGGAAGAACACCGGUGGCGAAGGCGGCGACCUGGUCCUUGACUGACGCUGAGGCGCGAAAGCGUGGGGAGCAAACGGG